GGGUGAUUAGCUCAGUUGGCUAGAGCGCUUCCUCGACACGGAAGAGGUCACAGGUUCGAGUCCUGUAUCACCCACCA
rnacentral:tRNA from 1 species